AAUGAGAAUUCAUUUCAAGUUAGAGCGUCGAUGUAAGUGGGAUAAUCUCGGUGAAUGUUUUUUUUUGGUUUGUUUGAAUAAUUCCGUCAGUUGUUUGUAUAGUGGAAUAUCGAUUGCGUUCGUGGUUGCAGUUUGAUCCCAUCUUUCUUUACGUCGACUGUGAAAUACAUAUAUUUGUAUAUUUGAAAGGUUAAUAACUAAUUUGUUGAAUGACUGAGAGGUUAACACAGUGAUUUGAUAGAGAAGCAAAGAAGAAAUAAAUUUCUGUGUUUAGUUACAUGCUGUAUACGGUUACACACAUACUAUAUGGAUAACACUCGUCUAUCGUAAUGUGUUUGAUGAAGUAAACAUUUAGUGUUGUGUCUAUUAUAUUUACGUUAUAUAACUUCUUACAAACCGAAACGGAUUAACAAUGAAAGCUAUUACUGCUGUGUGUGCAAAUGGCGCCUCCGCUCCAACCAUAACCAAUGGCCGUAUAUCAAGGCAUCGAGAUGGUGAAAAUGAUGAAAUACAAAUGUAUCUGUCAAAGUUAAAAGACCUAGUGCCGAAUAUGCCAAAAAAUAAAAAAAUCUCCAAACUGGAGGUCAUACAGAAUGUUAUCGAUUACAUUUGCGAUUUACAGCGAGCGCUGGAAACAACAUCGAAUUCAUCAGCAAUUAGCAAUUUUGAUGCCAGUGCCGUGUUAUGUGAAUCGUUAAGUCCACGUCAGCCGUUGGGUGUGCGGUCUAGUCCAAAUAGAAAUUUUGCUAAUAGCACUUCCGAAACGAAUGCGAUAACAGAUAAACCUAGUGAUGAUCGGUCGAUAUAAGUAAGUUCCAACCAUCCACAAUCCAUCAAUAUUAUUUAACAAAUCACUUAUGGAUACGGUCCAGUUGCACCAUAGAUAUGUAGAGAGAAGAACAGAGAAAAUAUUUUCAACGCAAUGGAAUCAACCCUUCCGAUUUUGAUUGUACAAUCAAAGUAUAAGAAUCUUGUAAAAUAGAACCCACAAAUUUUAUGUUCGUAGGAUUAAGUCAAGAGGAUGUUUUAUUAGUUCUACAUUGCACACAAUAUGUUUCUCAGAAAACCUUUCAGGAACGACUAGUCACUUUUGUCGAUGACAAAAAUGAGCGUUGUAGCGGUUCUAGCUCUAUUCAUGCUGCAAGUGCGCUUAAGAAUUUUAAUUUUAAGCGAACGAAUGACCGACAUGAAUUGAUUUUGAUAAAACAAAUGAAAGAUGUUGUUGCAUUGAGCGAAAAUGUUAAAUCAAAGUGAAAUCACGAUUUAAUGGUUAUCCGCUUGCCGUUCCUGAAAGGUUAACUACACCUCAAUUUAUACAGAAAUAAAAUUGAAUUAUGAAGUGACUAUAUUGACCUAUAUUGUAUUGAAUGGACCCAUAAGAUUAUAUUAAAAUAAAUGAAAAAUGAAAAUAUUAUUGUAACAAUGUUCUGUGAUCCAUAGAAUUAAUUUUUUACAAAAUAUUUAGAUUGCAACACCACACGAAAAUUAUAAGUAAAUGAAGCAAAAGAAGAAGAAAAAAACAAAGAAGGAAAAGAGCAAGAGAGUUUUUGUUUACGCGCGGAGUUGCACUUCGUUGCACAUUCACACACGGUGUUAAUGAGAACCAGGGCCGUAAAUUUGUAAAAAAAAAUGAAUUUGAGUUUAGUGCGAUCGAAGUAGUGCCGAAGUCAUGUAUAAAUUUACGCACUAGUGCGUAAAAGUGACAUUUGUAAAAAUGGGGACUCCACUGUCGUACAUAAAAUCUUGUUCCUAACUUGUGCCUUAACUAGGGACUAAACAUUUUCCCAUAUUUUCUUCAAUUUUCCUAGAGUUUCCAUGUUUUUCUUAAUUUACCUAAAAAGUAUUUUUGGGGAAAAUUUGUGAAAAUGUCAGAAAAUUGAGGAAAAUUUUGCGAAAAUGUUUUCCCAAAAAUAGUUUUUAGCAUACGCCUAGCUCUCACAUCGUUCGGGCAAAAUUUCCACGAAGGCACUUGUUGGGAAAAUAACUGUAAAUGAAAAGAUACAAACAUUUGAAUGAUGUGGUCACAUUGAUAUUUUUCUAAAAAUAUGUUCCACAGUGUGGGUGGAAUCUACUACACCCUUUGCAUUAUAAAAUAAAUAAAGAAAAUAUUUUGUGACUUUCGUUUUAGGUAAUCUACUUUUUGGCAUUUGACGAUCUAAAUUUUAAAAACUUUGUUUUUUGUUAUUUUUUAUUGUUUCUAGAAUUUUAUUUAGUAUUUAUUGAUUAAAUGAAGAGAAUUUUUUUUACAUUUUAUUGCUUCUUUUUUUAUUGAGAGAAAAACAUUUCCAUUUGAACAUCCUUCCUAGUAAGACACACAAAAAAUGGGAAAUUUUUAUUUUUAAAGUUUAUUAAUUAAGAGCACAUUAGUCAUGCAUUGUGUAAUAUAGAAUUGAGAAAUUUUUGUUUAGUAAUCUAAGUGAAGAACACAAUUAAAAUGAAAAUAAAAAAAACGCAAAACCAGCAAAACUAUAUUGAAAUGAAUAUGCAUUUCAAUCGGAGGCAAAAAGGAGAGCAAAAUGUAUAAUAAAAUUAUGUAUGAACAAAAAUAUAAAAAAAA